GUAUUUCAGGCCUCCGGCCCAUAUACAUUGGAGUAACAUGCAUUAUACAAUCACAUACAGCUUGAAUACAGAGAUGAUUUUAACAGAAUAUCACGCUUAGACAUUGCAUUGUAAAUGUAUUGUGAUCGUUUUAAGUUUAUACAGUUGUCAUAAGUAGACAGGAAUUGUUUAAAUGCCACAGUUGGUGACUUGGAGAGGUAACAUUCAGGAAUAUAACAUUUUCAAAUUCGU